rnacentral:rRNA from 1 species
AGCGGCGGAUGGGUGAGUAACACGUGGGGAACCUGCCCCUAAGUCUGGGAUACCAUUUGGAAACAGGUGUUAAUACCGGAUAAUAAAGCAGAUCGCAUGAUCAGCUUUCGAAAGGCGGCGUAAGCUGUCGCUAAGGGAUGGCCCCGCGGUGCAUUAGCUAGUUGGUAAGGUAACGGCUUACCAAGGCGACGAUGCAUAGCCGAGUUGAGAGACUGAUCGGCCACAUUGGGACUGAGACACGGCCCAAACUCCUACGGGAGGCAGCAGUAGGGAAUCUUCCACAAUGGACGCAAGUCUGAUGGAGCAACGCCGCGUGAGUGAAGAAGGUUUUCGGAUCGUAAAGCUCUGUUGUUGGUGAAGAAGGAUAGAGGUAGUAACUGGCCUUUAUUUGACGGUAAUCAACCAGAAAGUCACGGCUAACUACGUGCCAGCAGCCGCGGUAAUACGUAGGUGGCAAGCGUUGUCCGGAUUUAUUGGGCGUAAAGCGAGCGCAGGCGGAAAAAUAAGUCUAAUGUGAAAGCCCUCGGCUUAACCGAGGAACUGCAUCGGAAACUGUUUUUCUUGAGUGCAGAAGAGGAGAGUGGAACUCCAUGUGUAGCGGUGGAAUGCGUAGAUAUAUGGAAGAACACCAGUGGCGAAGGCGGCUCUCUGGUCUGCAACUGACGCUGAGGCUCGAAAGCAUGGGUAGCGAACAGGAUUAGAUACCCUGGUAGUCCAUGCCGUAAACGAUGAGUGCUAAGUGU